rnacentral:rRNA from 1 species
UACGGAAGGCAGCAGUGGGGAAUAUUGCACAAUGGGCGAAAGCCUGAUGCAGCUAUGCCGCGUGUAUGAAGAAGGCCUUAGGGUUGUAAAGUACUUUCAUCGGGGAGGAAAAACAAAACUAAUAAUUUUAUUUCUUGACGUUACCCGAAAAAGAAGCACCGGCUAACUCCGUGCCAGCAGCCGCGGUAAUACGGAGGGUGCUAGCGUUAAUCAGAAUUACUGGGCGUAAAGGGCACGCAGGCGGUUAAUAAGUUGGAUGUGAAAUCCCCGGGCUUAACCUGGGAAUGGCAUUCAAGACUGGUUAGCUAGAGUCUUGUAGAGGGGGUAGAAUUCCAUGUGUAGCGGUGAAAUGCGUAGAGAUGUGGAGGAAUACCGGUGGCGAAGGCGGCCCCUGGACAAAGACUGACGCUCAUGUGCGAAAGCGUGGGGAGCAAACAGGGAUUAGAUACC